GACGAACGCUGGCGGCGUGCUUAACACAUGCAAGUCGAACGAUGAAGAAGAGAAACGCGGACUUCGGUUCAAAUUUCACUUCGGAGUAGUGGCAGACGGGCGAGUAACGCGUGAGCAACCUACCUCUUACAAAGGGAUAGCCUCGGGAAACCGUGCUUAUUACCAAAUGACACAUUCAUAAGGCAUCGUAAGAAUGUUAAAGCUACGGCGGUAAGAGCUGGGCUCGCGUCCCAUUGGCUAGCUGGUGCGGUAACGGCCCACCAAGGCGACGAUGGGUAACUGGCCUGGGGAGCUGCCCCGUCACGUUGGAGCUGCGGCCCGGUCCACUCUCCUACGGGGCGCUGCAGUGUGUUGUAUUGCGCGCUGGAGGGUGCUCUGGUGCAGCCGCGCCGCGUGUGCGAUCAAGGAAUUCGUUUCGUAAAUCUCUGUUCUAUGGGAAGAAAAUGACGGUACCAUAGGAGAAAGCCCCGGCUAACUACGUG
rnacentral:rRNA from 1 species